rnacentral:tmRNA from 2 species
GGGCAUGACUUGGUUUCGACAUUUAUCUGGAGCAAAAGCAAAAGCAUAACGAAUUAGCCACGUUACGGUUUAAAAUUAAAUUUAACUGCAGAUAGUAAAUCUGAAUUAGCAUUAGCUGCGUAAAUCGCAUAAUGCAUGUUCGCUUUGGUUUCGCUAUUGACCAAAAACGAGCAUUAAUCAAAUAGCGGAGCAAGUAUUGUGAGCAUGUGAGCAUACUUGUGACUAUAAUCGCAUGCGACUUGUUUGAUUUUUUGUUUAUGGGUUGCAAACAAAGUCUAUUUCAAAAAAUAAACUAAUUAUGUAGAAAGGUUUUUGUAGGAUAUAUGGACGCGGGUUCAAUUCCCGCCAUGUCCACCA